CCUUCCCACCACCCGGCGAAGGCCGGGGUCCGGCAACGGUCGGCCCGAUACUGGACCCCGGCCUUCGCCGGGUGGUGCGGAUGA
rnacentral:pre_miRNA from 1 species